UUUAGUAUGUAGCAUUUUUUUUUUGAAUGGCCUGUCCUUGUUGAUGGGAAUGACUUGCAAAUAUUAUUAGCUUCAUGCCUGCAUCUGCUGUGUUAUAUUAAGAAUUUUACAGCCACCCACAAGUCUGGUUCCGUGAAAUAUUAAAAAGAGUUUGAAACCCGCAAGAUUAGCUCUUUAAUAAAUUUAUUUAAUUGAUUGUCAUACGUUUACAUUUAGCAGUUAGAGCAUGUGUAUCAUUUGGUGAGCCAUUUUGAGAUGACCCUGGCCCAGCCACCCUGCACCUUGUCUGUGGAUAUUGUAAGGGAUCAGUUGAGCCUAUUUCUGAUUAUAUUUUGAAAUAAUUUGGUAAUUGCAAGAUAAUGUUGAACUGUAUGCUCUUCAAUGUUGGAUUUUAUAAUGCAAAACCCUGUGAUUGCUUCAUCUCUGAU
rnacentral:misc_RNA from 1 species